UACGGGGGGAGCAAGCGUUGUUCGGAUUUACUGGGCGUAAAGGGCUCGUAGGCGGCCAACUAAGUCAGACGUGAAAUCCCUCGGCUUAACCGGGGAACUGCGUCUGAUACUGGAUGGCUUGAGGUUGGGAGAGGGAUGCGGAAUUCCAGGUGUAGCGGUGAAAUGCGUAGAUAUCUGGAGGAACACCGGUGGCGAAGGCGGCAUCCUGGACCAAUUCUGACGCUGAGGAGCGAAAGCCAGGGGAGCAAACGGG
rnacentral:rRNA from 1 species